UAUGCAAAUAUUGUCAACAGUCAGUGUGCAUUGUUGAUGUUAUAAGCGUACAAUGUUAAAUCAAAACCAAAAAAAUAUCAAUGAUUAAAAAAUGCAGUUGAUGCAUAACAAUGAAGCCAUUUUGGCAUUUAUUUGUAAACACUUGGUGUUUAUAUCUGACAGUGGGAAAACUUUAUUAACUUCAGUCAUUUUGCUUGAAUAAAAUAAUAAAUAAUUGAAUAAAAAACAAUGGAAAAGUGUAAAAAUGAUUUAAAAGCUUUAAGUUCUUUAAAUAUAACCUAUCCUUCACAACAUUCGCCUGUUUGUUCCUCUUGAAUGUUUCUGACUAAACCAAUUUUUUGAGCAAUUUUAAACCAGUUAUUACAAUCACUAGCAGAAACGAAACUUUAAAUUUUGAUCAUUUUAAAAAUGCAAACAGUGUCUCAAUGGAAUAGUUACUAUUGUUUAAUAGUUACUGUAAUGUUAAACAUAUGGUGCAUUCUAUAGUUAUUGAUGUAACGUUUGCAAAUUUCAUUCCUAAUUUAAAUACUUUCCAUUUAUAUUAGAUCCUUGUAAUAAAAUUCAAUGUAUUUACAUGUAUGGAUAAUAUUGGUGUAUAUAUAAAAUUUCCAAACUGUUCGUGUUUAUCUUCAAGUAGAAAAAUAUUUGUUCGUUACUGACAUAACGCUGGGGUCUGCUAUUUUUCUAAUAUUAACAUUUGACUUUAAGUUUCUCUGAAAGUUGAAAGACAAAAAUCUGAAAAAUUACUUUGAAUUAAAGACUUAUUUAUCAAGAUGAUUUGUUGUACAUAUAAGUUAUAGAUGUAUUAAUUCCAUUUGCAAAAGAUAUUAUUUUGAAGCCAUAAAUUCAGACCUAAGUGAGCGCUGCUCAAAAUGAACUCGCUCAUGAGCGGCACUCAAAACUUUUGAGCGAAGUGUGAGCGCGAGCGACGUCAAAUUUAGAUGAAUGUGAGCGCAAGCGAACGCUUUUUUGAUAGCGCUCUAAAAUUACGCUUAUUCUGCGCCUUCAAGCGGCCAAAAAUUGAAUUAGUUAACAUAGAGUUAACUCCAUGUUAAAAUGCGCCAUCAAAUAGCGGUUAAAUAUUUAACUUUAUAUUUAAAACAGCACAUGUAUGUAACCAGCCAGAGAAACUUCUUAAUUUUAAUACUGCAGUUAACGUUUAGCGUUGUUUCACUUUCAUUUUUUAAAGUAGUUAGUUUAAAUAAUUUUCUGAAUUUAAAGAGCAAAUAUUGGGAAAGUUAUAGAAACUUUUUUUUGAGCGGAUUUGUGAGCAAAAGAGCGGAGCGCCCGCUCAAGAAUAUUUAUAAGCAGAUUUGCGAGCGUCCGUUCAUAAAAAGCUGAACGACAAAUUGAGCGCCGCGCAAAAUUUUCUGCAUAAAUUACUGACGUUACGCUACUGACGUAACGCUCCAACUCAGAGAAUCAUAGUUGUUUAAAAACAUGCUGAUUUAUUCAAGUUUUAUUUUACUUUUUAAUAACAUUUAUUAUUGAUAAAUUUGGUAUAUUAAAGAUAUUAGAUAAUUCCAGUAAACCUUAGGGCGUAGCCUGUGGGCGUCAAAAUAAAAAGGCGCUUAAACGUCAAAGUUUUUUUUUGUUUUAAUUUGAAAUAAAAAUUCUAAUAACAAAAAACAACUAAUCGGUAGCUUUAACUUUAAUUUUAAAUUUGGUAAAUAUUAUGUGACUCCUUUUAAUAAGACGUCUUCAAAAAAGAGGUCGAAAAGACGUCAAUCGGUUGUUAAUAAGGAAAUCAUUAUUUGUUUAAAAAAAUUAAAAUUAGUUACGAUAUCUUUGUUACGUUCUGAUUAGCCCGUUUUUUGUUUACAAAAUACUUUUAUAUAACUUUUAUGUGAAACGGUCUUUGCAUAGGAAAUUUAAUUAAAAAAUAAUUUUUUUCGCUGCUUAGCUAAAAAAUGUUAAUCGGAAGAAGCAAAAAUGGAUGGCGUGUUGCCAGUAAGAUGGUAUCGAUACGAUCUAGUCUCAAUUAAGUUAGUCGCAGCAAAAUUCAAGUAAAAAUUCAUGUUAUAGAAGAAAGAAAAAUAUCAAUAUCUGUUUUCAAUAACUUGGUUUUCAUAGCAAAUCUGAGAGAUUGUUUACCGUUUGACCCCUGUCCUAAUCUAACCUAGUGGGUUCAAAAAAAAGGGACCGCGCUUGAAACAUGAGUGGAUUAAAAGGAUCAGCCUUUUUUGAAUUAAUUCUCGAAGUGGUAACCAGCUAGAAGUCGUGACCUGCUCGUAGGAAAGGAUUUCUCGACGUGAAAAUGUUAAUUUUAUUCAACCAAGAAACAGAGCUCGCUCAGGAAACAAAAAAGAAAGAGAAAGAUAAAAAAUAUUCUGUUGAACAAUACUAUUGUUUUAUUUAUAAAUUAUUCUCUUAUAUUUAAACAUAUAAAAGAUGUAGAAAAUGCUUUCUCUUUUAUAUUGACAUCUAAAAGAAGUUUUUUUACGGCAUCGGAAAGAGCUUUUUGCCAUACUUUGUAUGAAGAGCUAUUAGGGUAGGGUGGGGCAAGAUGCCCCCCUUAACAAACUUUAUCGUAUAUAAUAAAUACUUUUACAUUUU
rnacentral:lncRNA from 1 species